UGGGUGCGUAAGCAAGGUGGGAAGCUAAGAGGGAAUCCGGUGCAAUUCCGGAGCGGUCCCGCCACUGUAAUCGGUGAGCAUUCAUUCAGGCACAGGCCAGCCACUGGUAAACCGGGAAGGCGAAUGAAUGCGACGAUCCGUAAGUCAGGAGACCUGCAUGUG
rnacentral:ncRNA from 1 species